rnacentral:rRNA from 1 species
UACGUAGGUGGCAAGCGUUGUCCGGAAUUAUUGGGCGUAAAGCGCGCGCAGGUGGUUUCUUAAGUCUGAUGUGAAAGCCCACGGCUCAACCGUGGAGGGUCAUUGGAAACUGGGGAACUUGAGUGCAGGAGAGAAGAGUGGAAUUCCACGUGUAGCGGUGAAAUGCGCAGAGAUCGGGAGGAACACCCGUAGCGAAGGCGGCACUCUGGGCCGGUACUGACGCUGAGGCACGAAAGCGUGGGUAGCAAACAGG